GGUCCUAUAACUCAGUUGGUCAGAGUGUCGUACUAAUAUUAUAACUAAAUUAUAACGUUGGUAAUGCGAAAGUCGUGAGUUCAAGCCUCACUGGGACCA